GUGAAGGCUCACCUUCCUGACUUCCGGCUCUGCCUUUCUCUCUUUUUUUUUGGACAACAGCCUGGCUGGGUCAUCAGAAUAGCAGCUGCACUUGAAAGGGAUUCUGAGCCAUCUGGUUCUGUCAGUAGUGGUGAAAUGUGAAGGUUGGGUGUGGGAGGAUGAAUGCUAUCAAAGGGGCCUGUCCUGCACUUGAUCAAGGGAGAAAUCCUGCAGGUGGCUGGCUGCUUGUCUCAGGAGUAACAUGGCCAGAGGCAAGAGAUCCACACAGGAGAGGCUCUCACAUCAAUUACCUGAAGUGCCUGGCAGCCAGUGCAACAAAUGGAGAUCCCAGUCGCUCUUUAUCAUAGCUCUGACAUUCAAUAUUAAAAAUACA